CCAGGAGCCAGCCCUCCUGCGGGGCUUGCUCGCCCCUGGGCCGCUCUGCCGGGUUUGGGACCUCAGCGGCCGCCGCGGGGAGUCUUCUUUUGGAGAAAACGCAGAGGAAAAAGUGAACAAGGCUCAAAGGAAACAGACUCCAAUGUGAUGAAACCUGCUGCAAACCUUUCUGCCGGGGGUGAGGACGGCUCACUGUGGCCAAUGUGAGACUACUUUAGUCUAGAGAAGACGAAGGAAGAACUCAGACUGAAGAAUACUUACUGUGGUGUCCCUGUAUUCAGAAUUUCCUCCAUCGAUGAUGAUGUCACCAGUGUUCAACAGUGGUACCUGUAACCAGAUACUAGCGUUAAGAAUUUCAUUCUUACGUAAUUAUUACCACCUGAGGAUAUGCGGUGACUUAAUUAGUGCCAAUCAUGUUAAACAACACGGAGACAUUUAAGCAUCGUUUUGUCUGAACUGAGGAGUUCGCAUCCAGACACAGGAGAGAAAAAAAAAAAUCUCCUAAAUAAAAAUAACCGAAAGAAGGAAGGGGAGAAGCUGCCUCGCUGGCAGCAGCUGGGCGCAGAGCCAGCCUCACCAGUUUGCCAAUGAAGUCGUCGACGGCCUGCCCAGCCUUCACCAGCAGUAUGAUCCGCCGCGGCUUCUUCAGCUUGGAGACCAUCUCCUCCAAGGAGUGAGCACCAACCACUUUGGUUCCCUUUGCCUCGUUGGCCAAGAAAUCAUCCACUUUGGAGACGGUCCUAUUGAAGGCGCAGACCUAGAAGGACAAACGGUCGGAUGAGGAGGACCCAGGGCACAGAGGACCUUCAGACCCUAGAUUACGGGGAAGCUGCUCGGGCCGAGGUGAGGAGUGAGCCCGGGCAGAGGCCAGAGGCCAGAGGCCAGCGGGGUCGCCCCCCGCCGGGCUCAGCGUCAGGCCAGAAGCCAGCAGCCGCUGCCAGUACUCGGGUCCGAGUGGGCUCGUCCGGCUGCGCCGCUCACUCCUCGCUCCGCCCAGGUCUCAGCCGGCAUCAAGGUGAGAUUCUGCGCUCUCGGGGCGGGGGGGACGCCUCCUCGAGGAUGGAGGGUGGAGGAUGGAGGGUGGAGGGUGGAGGAUGCGGCAGACCCGCGGCGUCCGAGCCACACUCCACGAGGUCACUGCUUCUCGUCCUGGGCCAAGGCCCCGUCCCGCGGGAGCCGCCGCAGC